UACAGAGGGUGCGAGCGUUGUCCGGAAUCACUGGGCGUAAAGCGUGCGCAGGCGGUGAUGUAAGACAGAUGUGAAAUCCCCGGGCUCAACCUGGGAACUGCAUUUGUGACUGCAUCGCUGGAGUACGGCAGAGGGGGAUGGAAUUCCGGCGUGUAGCAGUGAAAUGCGUAGAUAUGCGGAGGAACACCGAUGGCGAAGGCAAUCCCCUGGGCCUGUACUGACGCUCAUGCACGAAAGCGUGGGGAGCAAACAGG
rnacentral:rRNA from 1 species